GUACUCACUUGUCUGUGCAUAUCGCAUUCGAAUACAAAAGUUGGCCGUCAGAUGACGAGCGGUGCGAAUAGAAUAUAUGUUCAUUCGUAUGUAUUAUAGAAAUUUAUGGAUCAACCCAAACCAUGUUACUGUCCCUACACUGGUUAAGUGGCUUUGGUUAUUCUUGGCCACGAGGAUAGCAUACGUCGGUCCGCCGAUUUUGGAUUCCUGCCCCGUCAAAGCUGAGAUCCGCGUGCAAUCAUUAGAUUGUCCUGUUCAGAGUUUGUGUUGGAGGCUGUAUAAGGGCAUCACAUACAUGCCACCUUAUUUGAGGCCGAACAUCAGAGAAAUUCCAAGCAUACUCAAGAUAGGCGCCGAGAAGUGUCGCCGUGAGUCACUUGUUGACACAAAUCGACGUUAGCUCAACGGCAAAGAGGGACUCGCGGCGGUGCAGGAAAUAUCACAGAGCAAAUACCCAUUGAAGCUGUUUUCGUUAGCGUGAUAAUGGAUGGCUACCGGCGACAGACACUUUUGUUGUUUGUUAUGCAACGGUCCAAGGCUACGCUAAUAGCUCAUACCUAUCGGGGUAUCAAGACUUCAAGCUUUGCCCGAUCUGUUGACGAAGCAUAUGCGGAGUGGUCCAGAUUGUCGUGUUCAUUUGCGCAUAACCUAAAGGCUAGCAUUGUGAGGAACAUGUAGCUAUCUCUUUGGUCAAUAUGUGAAUCUCUCAGACGAGUGAUGAUUGUCAAACGACAAAUGAAACGUUAAUCGUUUAGUAUAUUGGCAACGAAUUUACCGCUAAGCGGGAUGUACAUCGAGUGUGGAUAUGAUCUUGUAAAAGUUUUGUAUGCGUCCCUAGAUGUUUGCCAGGAAAUAAAAACGAACAAAAAAAUGGAUUAGAUAUUCUUCAUUUAAUUGAUUCGAGUACAUUCUGUCCCUAAAAACCGGUUUGUAAUGUCGAAGUUAAAUACAAAAGCUUCCAAAAGGAUCCAACUAUCAAGAUCAAGCGAAUAUUGUAAAAAAAACCUGCAAUGGAACAGACAAUAUUUGUAGAAUGUAUAAGUCUAGU